UACUUAUGCAGUUUAUAUAUGUUGAACUAGAUCAUAAAUGAGAUCUAAUUAACUUUUAAAUAACUAUCGUACUUAUUAAAUCUCAUUGGCAUUGAUUUUAUUUCAAUGCUAACUAUCACACGUAUUAUAAGUAAGAUUGAAAUAACAUUGAAAUAAAAUCAAUGCCAAUGAGAUUUAAUAAGUACGAUAGUUAUUUAAAAGUUAAUUAGAUCUCAUUUAUGAUCUAGUUCAACAUAUAUAAACUGCAUAAGUACUCCACAUAUUAUUAAAACAAAUCAAUUGAUGAAUUUACCACAAGCUGAAUCUAAGACCUUUCGCUUGGGUAAAGACUUUUGUGUUGAGAAGGUUUAAGCCGAACAAAGACCGCGUGGGGCAUAGGAAGUUGAGAAUGAGAUUGCGUUUACACAGGGACUGUGAUCGAAUGCGGCUGAAGGUUUAUUUCCAACAUAAGAAUAAAUAGAAUCAGAUUGUUAUUAGCCUACGCUGCGUAAAUUCCUGAAGCAGGAGCUGAGCUCGGGAUUGGGUUUUGGAGACCUUAUUCUUUCUUUUAUACUCAGUUUUUGUCCACUUUAAAUCUUUGUCAAAGUCUGAACUGAAGACGAAAUUCAAGCUCCUAGCCAAGGAACAGAGUUAAAGCUACUAACUCGGCUGGUAAUAACCCAAACUGCGUAGCAAGUGGUGCCUCCUGCGAACCCAGUUAUUUAAUCAUAAAAUAAUUUGUAUUUAUGUCUUAUAUGAUCAUAUGUAC
rnacentral:lncRNA from 1 species